rnacentral:rRNA from 1 species
CCUACGGGCGGCAGCAGUGAGGAAUAUUGGUCAAUGGGCGGGAGCCUGAACCAGCCAAGCCGCGUGAGGGAAGAAGGUACAGCGUAUCGUAAACCUCUUUUGUCAGGGAACAAAGGCGGGGACUAGUCCCCGGAUGAGGGUACCUGAAGAAAAAGCAUCGGCUAACUCCGUGCCAGCAGCCGCGGUAAUACGGAGGAUGCGAGGGUUAUCCGGAUUUAUUGGGUUUAAAGGGUGCGCAGGCGGCCGGUUAAGUCAGCGGGAAAAGCCCGGGGCUCAACCCCGGCGAGCCGUUGAAACUGGCGGGCUGGAGUUGGAGAGAAGUACGCGGAAUGCGCGGUGUAGCGGUGAAAUGCUUAGAUAUCGCGCAGAACCCCGAUUGCGAAGGCAGCGUACCGGCUCCACACUGACGCUGAGGCACGAAAGCGUGGGUAUCGAACAGGAUUAGAUACCCCUGUAGUC